GUGAUGAAGAGGAGGAGGAGGAGGUGAUAGAAGACAGUGAUGAUGGUGAUCAUGGUGAUGAAGAGGAGGAGGAGGUGAUAGAAGACAGUGAUGAUGGUGAUCAUGGUGAUGAGGAGGAGGUGAUAGAAGACAGUGAUGAUGGUGAUCAUGGUGAUGAGGAGGAGGUGAUAGAAGACAGUGAUGAUGGUGGUCAUGGUGAUGAGGAGGAGGAGGAGGAGGUGAUAGAAGACAGUGAUGAUGGUGAUCAUGGUGAUGAGGAGGAGGUGAUAGAAGACAGUGAUGAUGGUGAUCAUGGUGAUGAGGAGGAGGUGAUAGAAGACAGUGAUGAUGGUGAUGAGGAGGAGGACGAGGUGAUAGAAGACAGUGAUGAUGGUGAUGAUGGUGAUGAUGAGGAGGAGGAGGUGAUAGAAGACAGUGAUGAUGGUGAUGAUGGUGAUGAUGAGGAGGAGGAGGUGAUAGAAGACAGUGAUGAUGGUGAUCAUGGUGAUGAGGAGGUGAUAGAAGACAGCGAUGAUGGUGAUGAUGGUGAUGAGGAGGAGGACGAGGUGAUAGAAGACAGUGAUGAUGGUGAUGAUGGUGAUGAUGAGGAGGAGGAGGUGAUAGAAGACAGUGAUGAUGGUGAUGAUGAGGAGGAGGAGGUGAUAGAAGACAGUGAUGAUGGUGGUCAUUGUGAUGAGGAGGUGAUAGAAGACAGUGAUGAUGGUGGUCAUGGUGAUGAGGAGGAGGUGAUAGAAGACAGUGAUGAUGGUGAUCAUGGUGAUGAGGAGGAGGUGAUAGAAGACAGUGAUGAUGGUGGUCAUGGUGAUGAGGAGGAGGUGAUAGAAGACAGUGAUGAUGGUGAUGAUGGUGAUGAUGAGGAGGAGGAGGUGAUAGAAGACAGUGAUGAUGGUGAUCAUGGUGAUGAGGAGGUGAUAGAAGACAGUGAUGAUGGUGAUCAUGGUGAUGAGGAGGAGGAGGUGAUAGAAGACAGUGAUGAUGGUGAUGAUGGUGAUGAGGAGGUGAUAGAAGACAGUGAUGAUGGUGGUCAUUGUGUGUUGGAUGUUGGAAGUCAGCUCCUAUUUCCAUCAACAGUCUACAGUAAUGGUUUCUCUUCUUUUUUUCAUUGGAAGAAUAGGUCUGGAGGUUACUGGACUUAACUGAGGAUCUCCAGCACAUUUAGAUAGCUUUGAUUCUGCAUGACUCAAAGAAAGGCACAGUGGAGAACAUUCCAGCAAUUCUCUCUUUGAAGGGAGUGAUCUGACACAGCUAAUUUGAAUUAUAAACAGGGAGGGAGAGAGAGGGGGAGAGAGAGAGAGAGAGAGGGAGAGGGAGAUGGAGGGAGAG
rnacentral:lncRNA from 1 species